GACGGAAGGUGCAAGCGUUGCUCGGAAUCACUGGGCGUAAAGGGUGCGUAGGCGGCUUGGUAGGUCUGGUGUGGAAGCCCCGGGCUCAGCCCGGGAAGGGCACUAGAAACUGCCAAGCUAGAGUGCCGGAGGGGAGAGUGGAAUUCCUGGUGUAGCGGUGAAAUGCGUAGAGAUCAGGAGGAAUACCGGUGGCGAAAGCGACUCUCUGGACGGCAACUGACGCUGAGGCACGAAAGCGUGGGGAGCAAACAGG
rnacentral:rRNA from 1 species